rnacentral:rRNA from 1 species
AAUACAUGCAAGUCGAACGCUUUGUGGUUCAACUGAUUUGAAGAGCUUGCUCAGAUAUGACGAUGGACAUUGCAAAGAGUGGCGAACGGGUGAGUAACACGUGGGAAACCUACCUCUUAGCAGGGGAUAACAUUUGGAAACAGAUGCUAAUACCGUAUAACAAUGACAACCGCAUGGUUGUUAUUUAAAAGAUGGUUCUGCUAUCACUAAGAGAUGGUCCCGCGGUGCAUUAGCUAGUUGGUAAGGUAAUGGCUUACCAAGGCGAUGAUGCAUAGCCGAGUUGAGAGACUGAUCGGCCACAAUGGGACUGAGACACGGCCCAUACUCCUACGGGAGGCAGCAGUAGGGAAUCUUCCACAAUGGGCGAAAGCCUGAUGGAGCAACGCCGCGUGUGUGAUGAAGGGUUUCGGCUCGUAAAACACUGUUGUAAGAGAAGAAUGACAUUGAGAGUAACUGUUCAAUGUGUGACGGUAUCUUACCAGAAAGGAACGGCUAAAUACGUGCCAGCAGCCGCGGUAAUACGUAUGUUCCAAGCGUUAUCCGGAUUUAUUGGGCGUAAAGCGAGCGCAGACGGUUAUUUAAGUCUGAAGUGAAAGCCCUCAGCUCAACUGAGGAAUUGCUUUGGAAACUGGAUGACUUGAGUGCAGUAGAGGAAAGUGGAACUCCAUGUGUAGCGGUGAAAUGCGUAGAUAUAUGGAAGAACACCAGUGGCGAAGGCGGCUUUCUGGACUGUAACUGACGUUGAGGCUCGAAAGUGUGGGUAGCAAACAGGAUUAGAUACCCUGGUAGUCCACACCGUAAACGAUGAGUGCUAGGUGUUUGAGGGUUUCCGCCCUUAAGUGCCGCAGCUAACGCAUUAAGCACUCCGCCUGGGGAGUACGACCGCAAGGUUGAAACUCAAAGGAAUUGACGGGGACCCGCACAAGCGGUGGAGCAUGUGGUUUAAUUCGAAGCAACGCGAAGAACCUUACCAGGUCUUGACAUCCCUUGACAACUCCAGAGAUGGAGCGUUCCCUUCGGGGACAAGGUGACAGGUGGUGCAUGGUUGUCGUCAGCUCGUGUCGUGAGAUGUUGGGUUAAGUCCCGCAACGAGCGCAACCCUUAUUACUAGUUGCCAGCAUUCAGUUGGGCACUCUAGUGAGACUGCCGGUGACAAACCGGAGGAAGGUGGGGAUGACGUCAAAUCAUCAUGCCCCUUAUGACCUGGGCUACACACGUGCUACAAUGGCGUAUACAACGAGUUGCCAACCCGCGAGGGUGAGCUAAUCUCUUAAAGUACGUCUCAGUUCGGAUUGUAGGCUGCAACUCGCCUACAUGAAGUCGGAAUCGCUAGUAAUCGCGGAUCAGCACGCCGCGGUGAAUACGUUCCCGGGUCUUGUACACACCGCCCGUCACACCAUGAGAGUUUGUAACACCCAAAGCCGGUGGGGUAACCUUCGGGAGCCAGCCGUCUAAGUGGGACAGAUGAUUAGGGUG